rnacentral:rRNA from 1 species
UACGGAGGGAGCUAGCGUUGUUCGGAAUUACUGGGCGUAAAGCGCGCGUAGGCGGCCUUGCAAGUUAGAGGUGAAAGCCCGGAGCUCAACUCCGGAACUGCCUUUAAAACUGCAUAGCUUGAAUCCGGGAGAGGUGAGUGGAAUUCCGAGUGUAGAGGUGAAAUUCGUAGAUAUUCGCAAGAACACCAGUGGCGAAGGCGGCUCACUGGGUCAUUACUGACGCUGAGGCACGAAAGCGUGGGGAGCAAACAGG